AGCAGCCGCGGUAAUUCCAGCUCCAAUAGCGUAUAUUAAAGUUGUUGCAGUUAAAAAGCUCGUAGUUGAAUUUCGGGAUCAAUAUAUCGGUCGUGCCUUGGUACGUACUGGUAUCAUUGGUCUCUCCUUUCUGACGAACCAUGAUGUCAUUAAUUUGGUGUUAUGGGAAGUUAGGACUGUUACUUUGAAAAAAUUAGAGUGUUUAAAGCAGGCUUUAGCUUGAAUACAUUAGCAUGGAAUAAUGAAAUAGGACGUUCGAACCUAUUUUGUUGGUUUCUAGGAUCAACGUAAUGAUUAAUAGGGAUAGUUGGGGGCAUUAGUAUUCAAUUGUCAGAGGUGAAAUUCUUGGAUUUAUUGAAGACUAACUACUGCGAAAGCAUUUGCCAAGGAUGUUUUCAUUAAUCAAGAACGAAAGUUAGGGGAUCGAAGACGAUCAGAUACCGUCGUAGUCUUAACCAUAAACUAUGCCGACUAGGGAUCGGAUGAUGUUAAUUUUUUAAUGACUCA
rnacentral:rRNA from 1 species